rnacentral:rRNA from 1 species
UUGCAGUGCGAAAAUAAACAGUUGGAAGCAAUUGCUAAUGUCGCAUAUGCCGAGAGGUGAAAGAUUAUUCGCUACAAGAUGAGCCCAUGCAGGAUUAGCUAGUUGGUGAGGUAAUGGCUCACCAAGGCAACGAUCUUUAGUUGGUCUGAGAGGAUGAUCAGCCACACUGGAACUGAGACACGGUCCAGACUCCUACGGGAGGCAGCAGUGGGGAAUAUUGGACAAUGGGCGCAAGCCUGAUCCAGCGACGCCGCGUGAGUGAUGAAGGCCUUAGGGUUGUAAAGCUCUUUUAGUGGGGAAGAUAAUGACGGUAACAGGAUAAGAAGUCCCGGCUAACUCCGUGC